AGCAGUGAUGAUUUUAGAUGCAACUGACUUGGAAUUGCUGACUUUACGUCAGGCUCUGUCCAGGAAAUGACAUCUGUUAAUCUUCUCUCUGAGCUG
ensembl:snoRNA Z30 small nucleolar RNA